GAUGAACGCUGGCGGCGUGCCUAAUACAUGCAAGUCGAGCGAACAGACGAGGAGCUUGCUCCUCUGACGUUAGCGGCGGACGGGUGAGUAACACGUGGAUAACCUCCCUAUAAGACUGGGAUAACUUCGGGAAACCGGAGCUAAUACCGGAUAAUAUAUUGAACCGCAUGGUUCAAUAGUGAAAGACGGUUUUGCUGUCACUUAUAGCUGGAUCCGCGCCGCAUUAGCUAGUUGGUAAGGUAACGGCUUACCAAGGCAACGAUGCGUAGCCGACCUGAGAGGGUGAUCGGCCACACUGGAACUGAGACACGGUCCAGACUCCUACGGGAGGCAGCAGUAGGGAAUCUUCCGCAAUGGGCGAAAGCCUGACGGAGCAACGCCGCGUGAGUGAUGAAGGUCUUCGGAUCGUAAAACUCUGUUAUUAGGGAAGAACAAAUGUGUAAGUAACUAUGCACGUCUUGACGGUACCUAAUCAGAAAGCCACGGCUAACUACGUG
rnacentral:rRNA from 1 species